rnacentral:rRNA from 1 species
CACGGGGGGCCUACGGGAGGCAGCAGUGGGGAAUAUUGCACAAUGGGGGCAACCGUGAUGCAGCCACAAUGGGUGCAAGAAGAAGGCAUUCGGGUUGUAAAGCACUUUCAGUUGUGAGGAAAGUUUAGUAGUUAAUCCAUGGUAGAUAUGACCUUAGCAACAGAAGAAGCACCGGGUAAAUUCGUGCCCGCAGCCGCGGUAAUUCGGAGGGUGCGAGCGUUAAUUGGAAUUUCUGGGGGUAAAGCGCACGCUGGCGGUCUUUUUAACUAGAUGUGAAAACCCCGCGCUUAACGUGGGAGGGUCAUUUAGAAAUGGCUGAUUAGAGUUUUGGAGAGGGGAGUGGAAUUUCAGGUGUAGCGGUGAAAUGUGUAGAGAUUUGGAGGAACAUCAAUGGGGAAGGCAACUUCCUGGCCAAAGACUGACGGUCAUGUGGGAAAGUGUGGGUAGCGAACAGGAUUAGAUACCCUGGUAGUCCACACCGUAAACGCAGUAAACUAGUUGUUUGGGGAUCUAAUCCUUGAGUAGCGAACCU